GGGGGGGCGAGCGUUUGUUCGGAAUUACUGGGCGUAAAGGGCGCGCAGGCGGCCUGGGAAGUCUUGGGUGAAAGCCCCCGGCUCAACCGGGGAAUGGCCUGAGAAACCACUAGGCUGGAGUGCUGGAGAGGGAAGCGGAAUUCCCGGUGGAGCGGUGAAAUGCGUAGAUAUCGGGAGGAACACCAGAGGCGAAGGCGGCUUCCUGGACAGACACUGACGCUGAGGCGCGAAAGCUAGGGGAGCAAACGGGAUUAGAUACCCCGGUAGUCCUAGCUGUAAACGAUGGGUACUAGAUGUGGGAGGUAAUAGAAAGUCCCUUCCCGUGUCGGCGAUAACUCAAUAAGUACCCCGCCUGGGGAGUACGGCCGCAAGGCUG
rnacentral:rRNA from 1 species